AGUAAUGGCGAAUGAAGAGGGAACAGCUCAAUUUUUAAAUCUCCGUUGCUUGCAGCGGCGAAUUGUAGUUUCGAGAAGUACUUUCUCGGCGAACAGACCUUGCUAAGUUGCUUGGAACAGCACGUCAUAGAGGGUGACAACCCCGUACGUGGCAAGGUCCGUCGCUUGCGAUGUGCUUUCAAAGAGUCGGGUUGUUUGGGAAUGCAGCCCAAAAUGGGUGGUAAACUCCAUCUAAAGCUAAAUAUAGGCACGAGACCGAUAGCGAACAAGUACCGUGAGGGAAAGAUGAAAAGGACUUUGAAAAGAGAGUUAAAGAGUACGUGAAACCGUUGAAAGGGAAGCGAAUGGAGUUAGCAAUUYRCCGCGCCAGAUUCAGCUUUUCGCGUGCCGCGACGUUCGCGAUCUCGAUCUUUGUAGACGAGUCGCGUACGGACGCGGCGCGGGGUAGGCGCACUUCUGGUGGGCGAGCGUCAACGUCGGUCUCCGGUGAGCUACAAGGUCGCGUGGAAGGUGGACUUUCCUUCGGGAAGGUUGUUAAGCCUCGCGCACGUAUGGCUCGUCGAAGUCCGUGGCAUAUCGUCGCGACGCGUGCCUCCYUUCGGGGUUGGCUGGUGUCUUGGUCUGUUGGUCCGGUUGUCGACCGAGUGGACGGCACGCCUGUGCACUCAAACCGCUGCCGGUCAACAGUUCGAUGAUCACACACAACGCGUCAAGGACGUUGACGAUCAUACGGCUCUAUCCGACCCGUCUUGAAACACGGACCAAGGAGUCUAACAUGUGCGCAAGUCUCUGGGUGAUCGAAACCCGUGGGCACRAUGAAAGUAAAGGCAGYMACGCUGCUGAGGUGAGAAGCGCUUUGCGCUGCAUCAUCGACCGACCUAUUCUACUCCUAGAAAGGUUUGAGUAAGAGCGUACCUGUUGGGACCCGAAAGAUGGUGAACUAUGCCUGAA
rnacentral:rRNA from 1 species